GACGAACGCUGGCGGCGUGCUUAACACAUGCAAGUCGAACGGAAAGGCCCUGCUUGCCGGGUACUCGAGUGGCGAACGGGUGAGUAACACGUGGGUGAUCUGCCCUGCACUUCGGGAUAAGCCUGGGAAACUGGGUCUAAUACCGGAUAGGAGCCAUUUUUAGUGUGAUGGUUGGAAAGUUUUUUCGGUGUAGGAUGAGCUCGCGGCCUAUCAGCUUGUUGGUGGGGUAAUGGCCUACCAAGGCGGCGACGGGUAGCCGGCCUGAGAGGGUGGACGGCCACAUUGGGACUGAGAUACGGCCCAGACUCCUACGGGAGGCAGCAGUGGGGAAUAUUGCACAAUGGGCGCAAGCCGGAUGCAGCGACGCCGCGUGGGGGAUGACGGCCUUCGGGUUGUAAACUCCUUUCGCUAGGGACGAAGCUUUUUGUGACGGUACCUAGAUAAGAAGCACCGGCUAACUACGUG
rnacentral:rRNA from 1 species